UCUGUGCAUAUUUCUCUCUCAAACUUAAACUACAGAGAGCCUGUGGAUAGAGGAUGAAGAGUGACCUUGGACUAAUUUUCUAGGUCAAAGAUCAUAGGUGAUGUGAAGAAAACCAGGAAACUGAUGUUGAAAGAAGUACUUAAUGACCCUUAUGAAUGGACUUAAAUGUGAAAGACUGUUCCAUUGUUUAUCUAAGAUAUAUGAAUUUAUUUAAUAUUUUGAUAUCAUUGAAAAAUUCAGUUACAGUUUUUGUACAUCAAAUGAAUUAUUAAACAUAUAAAAUGGUAA